rnacentral:rRNA from 1 species
CCUACGGGGGGCAGCAGUGAGGAAUAUUGGUCAAUGGGCGCGAGCCUGAACCAGCCAAGUCGCGUGAGGGAUGAAGGUUCUAUGGAUCGUAAACCUCUUUUAUAAGGGAAUAAAGUGUGGGACGUGUCCUAUUUUGUAUGUACCUUAUUAAUAAGGAUCGGCUAACUCCGUGCCAGCCGCCGCGGUAAUACGGAGGAUGCGAGCGUUAUCCGGAUUUAUUGGGUUUAAAGGGUGCGUAGGCGGACAGUCAAGUCAGCGGUAAAAGUGCGGUGCUCAACGCGGUAAAGCCAUUGAAACUGGCAGACUUGGGUGGGCGAGAAGUAUGCGGAAUGCGUGGUGUAGCGGUGAGAUGCAUAGAUAUCACGCAGAACUCCGAGUGCGAAGGCAGGAUACCGGCGCCCGAAUGACGCUGAGGCACGAAAGCGUGGGUAUCGAACAGGAUUAGAUACCCCAGUAGUC